UAAGGAAUAUUGGUCAAUGGACGCAAGUCUGAACCAGCCAUGCCGCGUGAAGGAUGAAGGUCCUCUGGAUUGUAAACUUCUUUUAUCUGGGACGAAAACGGGAUUUUUAUCUCAAUUGACGGUACCAGAGGAAUAAGCACCGGCUAACUCCGUGCCAGCAGCCGCGGUAAUACGGAGGGUGCGAGCGUUAUCCGGAUUUACUGGGUUUAAAGGGUGCGUAGGUGGGCUUAUAAGUCAGUGGUGAAAUCUCCGAGCUUAACUUGGAAACGGCCGUUGAUACUGUAGGUCUUGAAUUAUCUGGAGGUAAGCGGAAUAUGUCAUGUAGCGGUGAAAUGCUUAGAUAUGACAUAGAACACCAAUUGCGAAGGCAGCUUACUACAUAUAAAUUGACGCUGAGACACGAAAGCGUGGGGAUCAAACA
rnacentral:rRNA from 1 species